rnacentral:snRNA from 1 species
GUGCUCACUUUGGCAGCACAUAUACUAAAGUUGGAACAAUACAGAGAAGAUUAGCAUGGCCCCUGCUCAAGGAUGACACGCAAAUUCGUGAAGCAUUCCAUAGUUUU